GUGCAUGGCGUAACUAAUUGUUUUUAAUACAUCCAGAUUUUUUAAUAUGUGCAUGGCGUAAGUAAUUAGACAAAAUUGUUGAUGCAACAGAAUCAGAAUAAGGCAUGAUUUUUUAAUACAUCCAGAUUCAGACAUAGAGUAAAAGAGGUAGCAAAAGUAAAGUACAGAGGAUCAGAAUCUAAAGCUCUUCUGAGAGGAGUGGAAUUGUUGAGGAAUAUGAAACCAAAUCGCUUAUUACAUCUUUUAAUAGACCAAAAGCUGUAAUAAAGGAAAAAUGAAACAGUUAAAGAGAAUAACAUUGAUUUCCCAUCUAUAAUAAAUUUAGAAAUCCAAGUAAAACGAAAAGGGUUGACCACACAUACCCACAAGGGAUUUUCCACGUUCAAACAUAAUCAAUCACAAGCAGGCAGAAGCAAUCUGCUUCAAAUUAACUGAUUUUUGCUUCAAAUUCUUUAUAGAGCGAUGAAACUGAACCCCAAAGCACAAAAAACAUAUAAAUUAAGAGAAAAAGAACUAAAAAUCAUGAUGUUAAUUUGGGAACUGGUCAGACUGCAUUUACCCAUCUUUCGUCUUCCUCCAUCUCUACCUACUUCUUCUUUCAAUCAUGAUUUCAGAUAAGGAAAAGAAAACCCUAGACAACAUGUAAUCAUAUUGGAAAAAAUUCUUCAUAUUCGGGCCUCAACUGCUCCAUAUUUC
rnacentral:lncRNA from 1 species